rnacentral:lncRNA from 1 species
AUGCAUUGUGUUAAAAUUAUGAGUGCAUUUUCAAGUAUUUUUGUUGGUUUACUGGUGGUGGUUUUGGUUGUUGAAAGUGUUCAUGGCGAUUUGAAAGGAGAUGUGAGUGAUGAGAAGUUGUUGCUUCGACGUCCUUUUCUUGGGAGGGGGAUUGGAGGGUUCAAGCAUGGGAUUGGUGGAGGAAUAGGUGCUGGUAUUGGAGGCGGCGGUGGCCUAGGAGGGGGUUUGGGAGGCGGCGCUGGUGGUGGAUUAGGUCAUGGAGGAGGUCUUGGGGGUGGCAUUGGACACGGUGGUGGUCUAGGAGGAGGAGGUGGAUUGGGGGGUGGAGCGUGGUGGAGGAGGGGGUUUAGGGGGGGCUAGGUGGGGAGGCAUGGGGAGGCUUGGGGUGGAGGUGGAGCAGGCGGAGGUGGUGGACUUGGUGGUGGAGGUGGUUUGGGAGGUGGCGCAGGUGGAGGCUUAGGUGGUGGGGGCGGAUUAGGAGGGGGCGGCGGCUUAGGUGGUGGUGGUGGUGGCGGCGUUGGUGUUGGUGUCGGUGUUGGUGUUGGUGUUGGUGGAGGUUUUGGUGGUGGAGGAGGAUUAGGAGGUGGAGGAGGAGGAGGUUUUGGUGGUGGUGGUGGUGCUGGUGGCGGCGGUGGCUUUGGUGGUGGCGCGGGGUUCGGAGGUGGCGGCGGCCACUAAACUUAGUCGGCAUAUAUAUGGCAUUUGCAACAAGGGGUUGCAGUUGCAUAUUGCAUGCAUGUCUUUAAAAUGACAAAUUUCUGGUAAUUAUGUAUGAAUUUUCCCCUUCUCUAAAUAUGUUAAGAACAGCAAAUUCGAGGCUUUGCUGUUUGAAUUAAGUGUAUUUGUUUCAACUGUUUCGAAUUUCUUUGGAACAUCAUAAACUAUUUAAUUUUAUAAUUUCAUGAAUGGGGUGUUUGCCUUAAAUGAAAUCCAUUAAUUUUGGGUGAAAAAAACAGUAGUUGAAUUAAUUGUGGUCGAUGCACAAUUCUUCCCCCGUAACUAAAAACAAGAGCCGUUGGUAUAUGUAUUUAAUUGUAUGUAUUUAUUAUAUAUAGGGUGGAGAAACAGUAAAAGCGAUU